GUGGGGAAUAUUCCGCAAUGGACGAAAGUCUGACGGAGCAACGCCGCGUGAGUGAUGAAGGUUUUCGGACUGUAAAGCUCUGUUGUUUAGGACGAAAGUGCCUGUUGCAAAUAGUUACAGGUAUUGACGGUACUGAACGAGGAAGCCACGGCUAACUACGUGCCAGCAGCCGCGGUAAUACGUAGGUGGCAAGCGUUGUCCGGAAUUAUUGGGCGUAAAGAGCAUGUAGGCGGGAAUCUAAGUCUGUUGUGAAAAUGCGGGGCUCAACCCCGUAUUGCGAUGGAAACUGGGUUUCUUGAGUGCAGGAGAGGAAAGGGGAAUUCCCAGUGUAGCGGUGAAAAGCGUAGAUAUUGGGAGGAACACCAGUGGCGAAGGCGCCUUUCUGGACUGUGUCUGACGCUGAGAUGCGAAAGCCAGGGUAGCGAACGGGAUUAGAUACCCGGGUAGUCC
rnacentral:rRNA from 1 species